CCGGGCGUAGCUCAGUGGAUAGAGNNCGGAACUGGGUGUCGGGGGUUCGAGUCCCUCCGCCCGGGCCA
rnacentral:tRNA from 1 species